rnacentral:rRNA from 1 species
UAGGGAAUUUUGCGCAAUGGGGGAAACCCUGACGCAGCAACACCGCGUGAAUGUUAAGCCCUUCGGGGUGUAAAGUUCUGUCAGUGGGGACGAAAUAUGACUGUACCCACAAAGGAAGCACCGGCUAACUCCGUGCCAGCAGCCGCGGUAAUACGGAGGAUGCAAGCGUUAUCCGGAUUUAUUGGGUUUAAAGGGUGCGUAGGCUGUUAUGUAAGUCAGCGGUGAAAUACCUAAGCUCAACUUAGGGGCUGCCGUUGAUACUGCAUAGCUGGAAUAUGGUUGCUGUUGGCGGAAUGUGUAGUGUAGCGGUGAAAUGCGUAGAGAUAUGGAGGAACACCAGUGGCGAAGGCGGCUUCCUGGUCUGUAACUGACACUGAGGCGCGAAAGCGUGGGGAGCAAACA